rnacentral:rRNA from 1 species
GACGAACGCUGGCGGCGUGCUUAACACAUGCAAGUCGAACGGAAAGGCCCUGCUUUGGUGGGGUGCUCGAGUGGCGAACGGGUGAGUAACACGUGAGUAACCUGCCCUUGACUUUGGUAUAACUUCAGGAAACUGGGGCUAAUACCGGAUAGGAGCUCCUGCUGCAUGGUGGGGGUUGGAAAGUUUCGGCGGUUGGGGAUGGACUCGCGGCUUAUCAGCUUGUUGGUGGGGUAGUGGCUUACCAAGGCUUUGACGGGUAGCCGGCCUGAGAGGGUGACCGGCCAAAUUGGGACUGAGAUACGGCCCAGACUCCUACGGGAGGAAGCAGUGGGGAAUAUUGCAAAAUGGGCGGAAGCCUGAUGCAGCAACGCCGCGUGCGGGAUGACGGCCUUCGGGUUGUAAACCGCUUUCGCCUGUGACGAAGCGUGAGUGACGGUAAUGGGUAAAGAAGCACCGGCUAACUACGUG